GCCCAGCUAGCUUAGUUGGUAGAGCAUGAGACCCUUAAUCUCAGGGUCGUGGGUUCAGGACCCACGUUGGGCA